GAUUCUGGCUCAGGAUGAACGCUGGCGGCGUGCUUAACACAUGCAAGUCGAGCGAAGCACUUUGGAAAGAUUCUUCGGAUGAUUUCCUUUGUGACUGAGCGGCGACGGGUGAGUAACGCGUGGGUAACCUGCCUCAUACAGGGGGGAUAACAGUUAGAAAUGGCUGCUAAUACCGCAUAAGACCACGGUACUGCAUGGUACAGUGGUAAAAACUCCGGUGGUAUGAGAUGGACCCGCGU
rnacentral:rRNA from 1 species